rnacentral:rRNA from 1 species
GACAGAGGCCUCAAGCGUCAGGCGGAAUCACUGGGCUUAAAGCGUGUGUAGGCGGAUCGUUAAGUGUCUUGUGAAAUCCCACGGCUCACCCGUGGAACUGCUGGGCAUACUGGCGAUCUUGGGCCAACUAGGGGCAACUGGAACAAGCGGUGGAGCGGUGAAAUGCGUAGAUAUCGCUUGGAACGCCGAAGGUGAAAACAGGUUGCUGGGGUUGUGCCGACGCUGAGACACGAAAGCCAGGGGAGCAAACGGG